rnacentral:rRNA from 1 species
UUUAAUUAAGAGUUUGAUCCUGGCUCAGGACGAACGCUGGCGGCACGCUUAACACAUGCAAGUCGAACGAGAGAAGAGGAGCUUGCUUUUCUGAUCUAGUGGCGGACGGGUGAGUAACACGUGAGCAAUCUGCCUUUCAGAGGGGGAUACCGAUUGGAAACGAUCGUUAAUACCGCAUAACAUAAUUGAACCGCAUGAUUUGAUUAUCAAAGAUUUAUCGCUGAAAGAUGAGCUCGCGUCUGAUUAGCUAGUUGGUAAGGUAACGGCUUACCAAGGCGACGAUCAGUAGCCGGACUGAGAGGUUGAUCGGCCACAUUGGGACUGAGACACGGCCCAGACUCCUACGGGAGGCAGCAGUGGGGAAUAUUGCACAAUGGAGGAAACUCUGAUGCAGCGAUGCCGCGUGAGGGAAGAAGGUUUUAGGAUUGUAAACCUCUGUCUUCAGGGACGAAAAAAGACGGUACCUGAGGAGGAAGCUCCGGCUAACUACGUGCCAGCAGCCGCGGUAAUACGUAGGGAGCGAGCGUUGUCCGGAAUUACUGGGUGUAAAGGGAGCGUAGGCGGGAUCGCAAGUCAGAUGUGAAAACUAUGGGCUUAACCCAUAAACUGCAUUUGAAACUGUGGUUCUUGAGUGAAGUAGAGGUAAGCGGAAUUCCUAGUGUAGCGGUGAAAUGCGUAGAUAUUAGGAGGAACAUCAGUGGCGAAGGCGGCUUACUGGGCUUUAACUGACGCUGAGGCUCGAAAGCGUGGGGAGCAAACAGGAUUAGAUACCCUGGUAGUCCACGCCGUAAACGAUGAUUACUAGGUGUGGGGGGACUGACCCCUUCCGUGCCGCAGCAAACGCAAUAAGUAAUCCACCUGGGGAGUACGACCGCAAGGUUGAAACUCAAAGGAAUUGACGGGGGCCCGCACAAGCAGUGGAGUAUGUGGAUUAAUUCGAAGCAACGCGAAGAACCUUACCAGGUCUUGACAUCGUAUGCAUAGCUCAGAGAUGAGUGAAAUCUCUUCGGAGACAUAUAGACAGGUGGUGCAUGGUUGUCGUCAGCUCGUGUCGUGAGAUGUUGGGUUAAGUCCCGCAACGAGCGCAACCCUUACUGUUAGUUGCUACGCAAGAGCACUCUAGCAGGACUGCCGUUGACAAAACGGAGGAAGGUGGGGAUGACGUCAAAUCAUCAUGCCCCUUAUGACCUGGGCCUCACACGUACUACAAUGGCUGUAAACAGAGGGAUGCAAAGCCGCGAGGUGGAGCGAACCCCUAAAAGCAGUCUUAGUUCGGAUUGUAGGCUGCAACCCGCCUACAUGAAGUCGGAAUUGCUAGUAAUCGCAGAUCAGCAUGCUGCGGUGAAUACGUUCCCGGGCCUUGUACACACCGCCCGUCACGCCAUGGGAGUCGGUAACACCCGAAGCCUGUAGUCUAACCGUAAGGAGGACGCAGUCGAAGGUGGGAUUGAUGACUGGGGUGAAGUCGUAACAAGGUAGCCGUAUCGGAAGGUGCGGCUGGAUCACCUCCUUUCUA